rnacentral:rRNA from 1 species
CCUAGGUCGGGUGAGCUACGCGAAAGUGUGGGUAAACACCGAUAGGCAAUAGGCACUGGAAGGUCCUUUUGCUCAAAUUCGUGCCUUAGGAUGAGUCGGCGGCCGAUUAGGUAGUUGGCGGGGUAAAGGCCCACCAUGCCUUGGAUCGGUACGGGGCAUGGAAGUGCUAGCCCGGAGAGGGACACUGAGAUACUGGUCCCAGCCCUACGGGGUGCAGCAGGCGCGAAAACUCUCCAAUGUGCGAAAGCGUGAGAGGGGAACUCCUAGUGCUUACGGUUCAUCCGUAGGCUUUUGCCAAGUGUAAAUAGCUUGGCGAAUAAGUGGUGGGUAAGACUGGUGCCAGCCGCCGCGGUAACACCAGCGCCACGAGUGGCCAUCGCGAUUAUUGGGCCUAAAGCGUCCGUAGUCGGUUGUGUACAUCUUCUGUGAAAUUGUUGCGCUUAACGUAACGGCAUGCGGAAGACACGGCACGACUUGAGAGCGGGAGGCGUCAGGGGUAUUCCACGGGGACCGGUAAAAUGGUAUAAUCCGUGGAGGACCACCUGUGGCGAAGGCGCCUGACGAGAACGCAUCUGACGAUGAGGGACGAAAGCCAGGGGAGCAAACCGGAUUAGAUACCCGAGUAGUCCUGGCCGUAAACGCUGUCAGCUAGGUGUUGCGACGACCUGAGUCGUCGCAGUAUCGGAGCGAAGGUAUUAAGCUGACCGCCUGGGAAGUACGGCCGCAAGGCUGAAACUUAAAGGAAUUGGCGGGGGAGCAC